rnacentral:rRNA from 1 species
CCUACGGGAGGCAGCAGUGGGGAAUAUUGGACAAUGGGCGAAAGCCUGAUCCAGCAAUGCCGCGUGAGUGAUGAAGGCCUUCGGGUCGUAAAGCUCUUUUACCAGGGAUGAUAAUGACAGUACCUGGAGAAUAAGCUCCGGCUAACUCCGUGCCAGCAGCCGCGGUAAUACGGAGGGAGCUAGCGUUGUUCGGAAUUACUGGGCGUAAAGAGUACGUAGGCGGUUAUUCAAGUCAGAGGUGAAAGCCCGGGGCUCAACCCCGGAACUGCCUUUGAAACUAGAUAACUAGAGUCUUGGAGAGGUUAGUGGAAUUCCGAGUGUAGAGGUGAAAUUCGUAGAUAUUCGGAAGAACACCAGUGGCGAAGGCGACUAACUGGACAAGUACUGACGCUGAGGUACGAAAGCGUGGGGAGCAAACAGGAUUAGAUACCCUGGUAGUCCACGCCGUAAACGAUGAUAACUAGUUGUUCGGUCACUUGGUGACUGAGUGACGCAGCUAACGCAUUAAGUUAUCCGCCUGGGGGUAGGUACGGUCGCGAGAUAAACUAACAAGAAGUAGUACGCGUGAGACGAGCGACGACGACGACGACGGGAGGUAGG